rnacentral:lncRNA from 1 species
AUUAGAUGCAUAUUCAGCACACGAGUUAAGAAGUCCAGAAUUAUAGACUUUAAAAGUAGAAUUAAAGGAGACAUCUGUUAUUUAUUGAUUCUCCUUUUAUAAAUACCUGUACAUAAUAGCAUGUGCAGCUGUAUAUUAUAAAACAGUAUAUGUUCUGGUUAUUUAACUGGAUAGAAUAAUGCCAUCUGUUACUUCACAAUCGUUUAAUAAACAUGUGACCGAACUAUGAACCACAUAAAAUCUAGUAAAUAAGGACAACAUGAAAUGAAAGAACUGCAGGAUUUGUUGUUCGGUUAUCAUAACCAAAACCUUACAUAUGUUGACCAACAUUCUUGAAAAGGGUCAGUUUAGUUUGAAUUUUACCUAAAUGCAU